UUUUUGUAAAGUGUAAUGGCUAACAUAUCAGUCCGGUGUACUGAAGAUGCUGGUUCGCUCCCAGCCGCCGAAUA
rnacentral:tRNA from 1 species